AUGAAUUUCAUAAUCUGGAACUGUCGUGGGGCGGGGAACUCUCGAACAGUUCGUGAUUUAGUGGCUCUGUGUAGAGCCUCCCCGAGUGUAAUAUUUCUGUGUGAAACAAGACAAUCAAAGGAGAAGAUGGCUAGACUUCGUAAUCGUCUGGGUAUGCGAGGUUUUGAAGGUGUGAGCAGCAAUGGAGCUAGUGGUGGACUUGCACUGUUUUUGCUUGAAUCAGUUUCAGUGGAGAUC
rnacentral:rRNA from 1 species